rnacentral:rRNA from 1 species
AGGAUAAACGCUGGCGGCGUGCCUAACACAUGCAAGUCGAACGUACUUGCGGUCUUCUUCUUCGGAGGAGGACCGCGAGGGAGUGGCGGACGGGUGAGUAACACAUGGGUACCUACCUUGGAGUGAGGGAUACCGGCGAGAAAUCGCCGACAAUACCGCAUAGGCUUCUUCACAAGGGAAGCAAAGUGACGCGAGUCAUGCUUUGAGAUGGGCCUGUGGCCGAUUAGCUAGUUGGGGGGUAACGGCUUCCCAAGGCGACGAUCGGUAGCUGGUCUGAGAGGACGAUCAGCCACACUGGGAUUGAGAACGGCCCAGACUCCUACGGGGGGCAGCAGUGAGGAAUUUUCCGCAAUGGAGGCAACUCUGACGGAGCAACGCCGCGUGCAGGAGGAAGGUUUUCGGAUCGUAAACUGCUUUUCUCGGGGACGAGCAAGGACGGUACCCGAGGAACGAAGCCCCGGCUAACUACGUGCCAGCAGCCGCGGUAA